rnacentral:rRNA from 1 species
UACGAAGGGGGCUAGCGUUGCUCGGAAUCACUGGGCGUAAAGGGUGCGUAGGCGGGCCUUUAAGUCCGGGGUGAAAUCCUGGAGCUCAACUCCAGAACUGCCUUUGAUACUGAGGAUCUUGAGUUCGGGAGAGGUGAGUGGAACUGCGAGUGUAGAGGUGAAAUUCGUAGAUAUUCGCAAGAACACCAGUGGCGAAGGCGACUUACUGGACACAUAUUGACGCUGAGGUGCGAAAGCGUGGGGAGCAAACAGG